UGGGGAAUUUUGGACAAUGGGCGAAAGCCUGAUCCAGCAAUGCCGCGUGUGUGAAGAAGGCCUUCGGGUUGUAAAGCACUUUUGUCCGGAAAGAAAUCCUUGGCUCUAAUACAGUCGGGGGAUGACGGUACCGGAAGAAUAAGCACCGGCUAACUACGUGCCAGCAGCCGCGGUAAUACGUAGGGUGCAAGCGUUAAUCGGAAUUACUGGGCGUAAAGCGUGCGCAGGCGGUUUGCUAAGACCGAUGUGAAAUCCCCGGGCUCAACCUGGGAACUGCAUUGGUGACUGGCAGGCUAGAGUAUGGCAGAGGGGGGUAGAAUUUCACGUGUAGCAGUGAAAUGCGUAGAGAUGUGGAGGAAUACCGAUGGCGAAGGCAGCCCCCUGGGCCAAUACUGACGCUCAUGCACGAAAGCGUGGGGAGCAAACAGGAUUAGAUACCCUGGUAGUCCACGCCCUAAACGAUGUCAACUAGUUGUUGGGGGAUUCAUUUCCUUAGUAACGUAGCUAACGCGUGAAGUUGACCGCCUGGGGAGUACGGUCGCAAGAUUAAAACUUAAAGGAAUUGACGGGGUCAUAGCUGUUUCCU
rnacentral:rRNA from 1 species